rnacentral:rRNA from 1 species
UGGGGAAUUUUGGACAAUGGGCGCAAGCCUGAUCCAGCAAUGCCGCGUGCAGGAUGAAGGCCUUCGAGUUGUAAACUGCUUUUGUACGGAGCGAAAAGGUCUGCCCUAAUACGGUGGGCUCAUGACGGUACCGUAAGAAUAAGCACCGGCUAACUACGUGCCAGCAGCCGCGGUAAUACGUAGGGUGCGAGCGUUAAUCGGAAUUACUGGGCGUAAAGCGUGCGCAGGCGGUUUUGUAAGACAGAGGUGAAAUCCCCGGGCUCAACCUGGGAAUUGCCUUUGUGACUGCGAGGCUUGAGUGCGGCAGAGGGGGAUGGAAUUCCGCGUGUAGCAGUGAAAUGCGUAGAUAUGCGGAGGAACACCGAUGGCGAAGGCAAUCCCCUGGACCUGUACUGACGCUCAUGCACGAAAGCGUGGGGAGCAAACA